UGUAAGCGUAUACCAAAGUUGUUGCAGUUAAAACGCUCGUAGUCGGAAUUUGGCAGUUCCGGAUGUGUGCACGUCGUGUGCGCACUUCGCGGGGAUUGCUUUUGUGGUCUUGCGUAGGAUGAGGCACUUUUAUUAGUGAACGUCCUCACGCAACCACUUUUUACUGUGAGAAAAUCAGAGUGCCCAAAGCAGGCAUUUGCCGUGAAUGUAUUAGCAUGGAAUAAUAGAAUAGGACUUGGUUCUAUUUUGUUGGUUUGUUGGGACUGAGUAAUGAUUAAGAGGGACAGUUGGGGGCAUUUGUAUUUCGGUGCUAGAGGUGAAAUUCUUAGAUUACCGAAAGACAAACUGCUGCGAAAGCGUCAGCCAAGGAUGUUUUCAUUGA
rnacentral:rRNA from 1 species